UAAAAAUAAUACAAACGUUCUGGUCUUUUGAAACGAAGGUAGGUUAUGUUUUCACAAAGUAGCGAUUUAAUCAAAUGAAGAUUGGCUUGUAUUCAAACAAAGGUACGAAGUAGGCAAGUAUGUGGUAGAAGUACACGAUGUUUAAAACGAAGGAAGUUCCGCUAUUAUCAUUUACCAAAGUUCAAGUACAGCAUACAAAGCAUAUCUGACAUCUGAGACGAAGUAGAUCAAACACCAGCAUAAGUAACACCCCGGUCUAAGUUCACGGUAGUGCGAAGAAUCACGUACGUGACAAGAGAGAUCGUAUGUGAAACGAAACAGGACGAAGUCAUACUAGACGAAGCCAGAAGAAGUUAUACUAGACGGAGGCGGACGAAGUGAUAAAGAUCACUUAACUUUUGUAUACUUCCCAUCAUUUCACCGUAAACACUUUUUAUACACUCAUUAUAUACCUUCGUUUUAUGUAUCUGGUUCCUUUAUCUACAGUAUAGUAUACCCUCGCACAGUAUAAUGUUGCCACUAUUAUUUCACAUCAUUCGACCGUAAAUACUUUUUAUAAACUCAUUAGAUACUUUCGUUUUAUGUAUCUGGUUCCUUUAUCUACAGUAUAGUAUACCCUCGCACAGUAUAAUGUCACCACUAUUAUUACUGUUGUUUAUACAUUUUCUCCGUCUUUUAUGCCUUCACUUGAUACCUCUGACUUCUUCGUAUACAUCAUAUUAAAUCUUAGAGAUAUUGUUUACUCUUCGUAUUUUUUGUCAAGGUAGAGUGAGUAGAGUUAACCCUCGUACGUUUAAACUUUAUGUUUAAUAUUUGGGUAGUCGAUUAUGAUAUGUAUACGCAUACGAACCUACGUACUUUAGUUGUUCCCAAUCAUCACCUUCGUACGUCCUCUACUAUUUGUUCGUCUGUUCGUACCGGAUGAUCAUGACGAACUACGUUUAAAAUUUGUGUUCAUUACUUAGUGCGUACCAUUACCAGCUUGGUUUAAAGUCAUAUUACCUUCGUAUAUACUUUUCCUUACCGGUGUUGAUAACACGAUGGUCUUUAUGUAUACUCUCCGUACAUAUAAUCGUUUAAUCUUUCGAUCGGUGUUCCUAGCCCUACGCGUCGGCUCCGGCCACCACAUCAAAGGGUACGCCUGUCCUUCUGCUUCGGGUAGCCACUACAUCCGUCUCUCAUUCCCGCACAAACCAACGAAAGCGACGACCCGGACCGAGUCUCUCCUUUUUGCUCGGUCCGACUCGUCCAGGACCAACUCCCUUUUGCUCCGGUUUUUGCAUCUACAGUUGAACUAACCAAUGGACGUAAUCUCCCAGAACAACAGCUCUACGUUAAAACUAGGCCACAAACCAACGUAUGUACGUAUACUAAUCCUCAGUGGUCCAAACCGAAGAGUAAAGCAGCUUGUGUAACUCACGCGGCCUCGAAGGAGAUGAUGAGCGCAGCGGGUGCCUCGGGCAAGCGGCGGCAGCUGGAGGAGCGCGGCGAGAAGCGGCUGGAGGACGCGAAGGUGGGGCGACUUCGGCAGCAUAAGCUGCCGCAGGAGGGCACCCGGCGGUGGCGGCGGCGGCUCGAGCCGUAGGGCGCCAUGCGAAAGUGGCCGUGCCCGACGAAGCGCGAGAGCCACGUCGCCAGGGACGAAGAGGUGUGGGGCGUACUCUCUCAGCGUAGCGAGUGCCUCGGUAAGGAGUACGGCCCGGAGGGCCUGCGCCACGCCGAGUGGUCCAGCUCCGAGCGGCUCCGCUGCGAGGGGCCGUGCCUGUUGUGGCCGGUGCGCGUUCUCGCUCAUGCCCUCUUCCUCCCGAGUUUCCACCACACGAGUGACACUGUGACGGAGAUGCGCACCUCUACUCGGCCGCCCGCCCCGUCUUUCGUUUCGUCUCGUCUUGCCCACCGCUCCCGGGCACCGUCUCCGAGCGAGGCAGGCCGGCCGACCCGGUACCAGCUGCACGUAUAUGUCCAUCUAUCCGGUCCGCACACCUCCUCACGGGCGGGUGCAGACGUGCUUGGGCGUUGAUUCUUCGCCGUCGCGCCGCGGGCGGCGCUUGCGGUCCCGGCUGCGCGGGCGGCGGUCGCAGCUCGAGCCGUCCAACGAGGACAGCGGCGACGGGGGCAGCCGCCGAGUGGCGCCGGUGCGCCUGCGCCCUGCUGCGCCACCUCCUCUGGAGCGCCGACUUCGUCAGGGAGCGGCUCGACCUCGAGUUCGACCGCGCGGAGCUCCGGGCGCACGAGGGGUACGGCCAGCAGCGGCAGAAGGGGCAGCUUAGGAAGGAGCCGCGGCAGAGGUGUCGUCGCCGAGGCCGGGGCUCCGCGGUGGCACGAGCGGACAGCGGGAACACCGCGGCGGCCAGUGCUACCGUUCGCAUCCGCCGCCCCCCGUACCGUGGUGGUGGUUCUUGCGGUAAAGAACGCCCGAGGACUACCGCGACGACCACGACGCCGACGCCGACGACCGCCACCUGGAGGGGUCCGCGUAGCUAGCACGAGAGGAAGAGGAAGAGGGACAGGUGGGAAGAGGCCACCACUACGACCACGACUCCGUUCUCCUUCGGCCCGCCGCAGACGCCGCCUCCCUCUCUCUCCCCUAACUCCUAAUCCCUCUCUCUCUCCCUAAUUGAGCUCUGUGUGCAGAGAUCUCUCGGUGGGUGCCCGCGGAGCUUCGUAGCGAGCCGGACCGAGAGCCCUUUGACGGCUAAGCCG
rnacentral:rRNA from 1 species